UGAUCUUCAGAAAUAUCUAGAGCUGAGUU
rnacentral:piRNA from 1 species